rnacentral:rRNA from 1 species
GAUGAACGCUGGCGGCGUGCCUAAUACAUGCAAGUCGAGCGAACAGACGAGGAGCUUGCUCCUCUGACGUUAGCGGCGGACGGGUGAGUAACACGUGGAUAACCUACCUAUAAGACUGGGAUAACUUCGGGAAACCUGAGCUAAUACCGGAUAAUAUAUUGAACCGCAUGGUUCAAUAGUGAAAGACGGUUUUGCUGUCACUUAUAGAUGGAUCCGCGCCGCAUUAGCUAGUUGGUAAGGUAACGGCUUACCAAGGCGACGAUGCGUAGCCGACCUGAGAGGGUGAUCGGCCACACUGGAACUGAGACACGGUCCAGACUCCUACGGGAGGCAGCAGUAGGGAAUCUUCCGCAAUGGGCGAAAGCCUGACGGAGCAACGCCGCGUGAGUGAUGAAGGUCUUCGGAUCGUAAAACUCUGUUAUUAGGGAAGAACAAAUGUGUAAGUAACUAUGCACGUCUUGACGGUACCUACUCAGAAAGCCACGGCUAACUACGUG